GGACUCGAAGCAAAGGACUCAAACCCUUGAACGGGGGGUUUGUAGUCUGGGCUCCAUGGAAUCCAUAGUUGAAUUUCAGUGGGUGGGGGCUGGUUCAUAAAUUUUUUUAAAUUGUAUGAGGAACUAUGUGUGGUGUGCACAUAUAUUCAUAUUUUUCAAGG
rnacentral:lncRNA from 1 species